rnacentral:misc_RNA from 1 species
GAUGAAGAACGUAGCGAAAUGCGAUAAGUAAUGUGAAUUGCAGAAUUCAGUGAAUCAUCGAAUCUUUGAACGCACAUUGCGCCCUCUGGUAUUCCGGGGGACAUGCCUGUUCGAGCGUCAUUAUAACCACUCAAGCUCUCGCUUGGUAUUGGGGCUCGCGGUUCCGCGGCCCCUAAAAUCAGUGGCGGUGCCUGUCGGCUCUACGCGUAGUAAUACUCCUCGCGAUUGAGUCCGGUAGGUCUACUUGCCAGCAACCCCCAAUUUUUACAGGUUGACCUCGGAUCAGGUAGGGAUACCCGCUGAACUUAAGCAUAUCAAUAAGCGGAGGA